UAUAAACCUUUGAAAUGUCAUUAAAUAUCCACAUUUAUUUUGAGCCAUGUGCCAACAUAGAUUGAGGGGGUAAUGUUAAUGUUUGCAUAAUGUGCAAUCUGCGUAACAACAAUAUAUAGGCAUACAUGUUAACAUGUUUCAAAAUUAGACUUGUUAAAUAAUUCUUAAGAGCACACGUGAAGAGUUUGGCACAAUUUUUGAGCUUUAUGACCUUUAAAAUUUAUGUAAUUUUGAGUAGUUUUCGCUUUCACCCAAAGUUUGUUACUUUUAAUUUUUCAAAGGCCAAAGAUUUUUCAUCUUUGUUAAUGAUGUUUUUGAUAACUGCUUCUGAAUUUUGCCAGGAAUUGAUAAACUCUUUAUUAUUAUUUUUGAAAAAUAGCAUUUCUUCCACAAUGCAGCUUUUUGGAGCACUUUCCUUGCCAAAGUUUUCCCAAGACAUUCACAAAAAACAUUGCCAGCAGAUCUAAUUUCCUGAGUGAUAUUUUAUUUACUUUUUCUGCAUCUGGACAUUUUUAAAGAUUAAAAGAUAUAGGUGCUAAGCUACAUCUUAUGAUGAUUACAUAAUUGGUUUCUGCCUUCUAAGUGGGAGAAAAUGUUCGUAAUGAUGAAAACGUAAGAAAAUGUAAAAAUUGAAGAUUGUGGCAUUUGCCCUUGAGUAGGCUGACUAGAAGUAUAAAACAAACAAACAAACAAAAAAACUUGCUUAAUUAUAGGUUUUUCUGAAAGCCUGAAUAAUUUGGCCGUGGAAUGCAUGGUAUUAACUGUCUUAGUUUAAUGUCUGCCACUGUCCAACUCCACUUUAUUCAGGUCAGUUCUUCACGAAUUUCCUCAACAGAAUUUAUCACUAGCCAGAGGAUGUCCUAAUUGCAAAGUGCUGCUUCAAGUAUUAUACACUUUUAAGUUAAGUUGUCUUUUUUUCUCAUUGUUUUUUUCUCAUUGAUUUGAGAAUUUUAUAUAUUCUGUUUACAGGUAAUUCAUUAAUUAUGCAUUUGCUGGUAUUAAAUUUCUCAGAUUUACUCUGAAUAAAAAUAGCUUCAUUUCACUUAUAAUUUGAAGAAUACUUGUACUGCAGUAGUAUCCAAUAUUGCCAGUAAUUUUCUUUUCUCUUUUUUUUUUUUUUUUGAGACAGACUCGCUCCAUUGCCCAGUCUGGAGUGCAGUGGUGCUAUCUCGGCUCACUGCAAGCUCCGCCUCCCAGGUUCACAUCAUCCUCCUGCCUCAGCCUCCCAAGUAGCUGGGACUACAGGCGUCCACCAUCAUGCCAGGCUAAUUUUUUUGUAUUUUCAGUAGAGACAGGGUUUCACCGUGUUAGCUAGGAUGGUCUCAAUCUCCUGACCUCGUGAUCCGCCUGCCUAGGC
rnacentral:lncRNA from 1 species